GACGAACCGAGCGAACGUUAUUCGGAAUCACUGGGCUUAAAGGGUGCGUAGGCGGGCACGCGAGUCAGGGGUGAAAUCCCACGGCCCAACCGUGGAAGUGCCUCUGAUACCGCGAGCCUCGAGGGGGAUAGGGGCGUGCGGAACUUCCGGUGGAGCGGUGAAAUUCGUAGAUAUUCGGAAGAACACCAGUGGCGAAGGCGGCUCACUGGACUGGUAUUGACGCUGAGGUGCGAAAGCGUGGGGAGCAAACAGG
rnacentral:rRNA from 1 species